AGAAGGGGCGGGCGGCUGCCUGGAGCGCACAGUGGAGCGGGCUCCCGGCGGAUGUCGGGGCGUCCACGGCGGGAUGCGCCGCCGGCCGCCGCCAGGGAGCGAGUCUGUGUCUUCGGGGUCAUCUCGUGCGCCGUCGGUUCGCGCGCUGUGGUGUGACAGGGUCGGCGGUCGCGAUGGCACCAGCAUCCCCGAGCAACCAGGAAGUGCUGCAUUCCAGGGUUCACAGCCAGCCCUCCCGAAGCUCGGUCCUGGGCGUGCGGCCACACAGCUGCUCGCUGCAGGGGCCGCGAUGCGAUGUGAUGACUCAGAAGUGGGGCGAGGAGACCGGCGGCUUGGAGCAAGGCCAGGGGGCCAAGGGCCAGAAGCCGGACUUGUGUUAAGGGGCUCGUUCUUCUGGCUUCGACUCAAGAUGAUCAGGAGUGCUGUCUUCCAAAAGAUUUGGGGAUGCCCUUCAAGCCACGGUCCAGUACACUCAGAUCUAGGCCACUCCUAAGUUUGCUCCUUCUAAACUUGGAAGUUGUUGUCUUUACUUUCUUCAUGAAGCAUUAAACACAGGUGAAAUCUUUAGUAUCACAGGAGCCUCUGCGUUUGAUGGCUAGUCUCCCUCCAGAAUAGGGAGCUAGGCCUGGCAAUUUCAGUUUAGCUAACUCUUUUGUGGCCACCAAGGGCCCUGGAGACAAGGUACCCAGAGACCUCUGAGAUGUGACAUGCCAGUGACUCACUGCUGUGAUACUACUGCAGUUUGAAACAAGUGCUACUGUCAACUGAUGAGAAAGAAAACCUGUAGGUUCCUAUAUGAAUAUCGCCUUUCCUUUUCAGGGAGCUUAUGAGGACCUGAUUCACUUAUACCUAUUUGUCCUGUGGCCCCACUGCUUUCACCAUGUCUGAAGGUAACAUGUCACUGAAAAACGAGUCGAGAGUAAAUACCUCUGCACUGCAGAAAAUCGCUGCCGACAUGAGCAAUUUGAUAGAAAAUCUGGACACACGGGAGCUGCAUUUUGAAGGAGAGGAGGUGGACUAUGAUGUGUCUCCCGGGGACCCCAGGACUCAGGAAGUGUGUAUCCCUUUCUCUGCUAUUUAUAACACUCAAGGAUUUAAGGAGCCUAAUAUACAGACGUAUCUCUCUGGCUGUCCGAUAAAAGCACAAGUUCUGGACGUGGAACGUUUCACAUCUACAUCAAGGGUAUCAAGUAUCAAUCUGUAUACUAUUGAGUUAACACAUGGGGAAUUUAAAUGGCAAGUCAAGAGGAAAUUCAAGCACUUUCAAGAAUUCCACAGAGAACUGCUCAAGUACAAAGCCUUUAUCCGCAUUCCCAUUCCCACCAGAAGACAUACAUUUAGAAGACAAAAUGUCAAAGGGGAAGAGCCUCGACAAAUGCCCAGUUUGCCCAGUUCACAUGAAAAUAUGAUUCAAGAGGAACAGUUCUUUGGAAGAAGGAAACAGUUGGAAGAUUACCUGACCAAGAUACUAAAAAUGCCCAUGUAUAGAAACUACCAUGCCACAACAGAAUUCCUUGAUAUAAGCCAGUUAUCUUUCAUCCGUGACUUGGGACCAAAGGGCCUAGAAGGCAUGAUCAUGAAAAGAUCCGGGGGACACAGAAUACCAGGUUUGAAUUGCUGUGGUCAGGGGAGAGCCUGCUACAGAUGGUCAAAAAGGUGGUUAAUAGUGAAAGAUUCCUUUAUAUUAUAUAUGAAACCAGACAGUGGUGCUAUUGCCUUUGUCCUGCUGGUGGAUAAAGAAUUUAGAAUUAAGGUGGGGAAGAAGGAGACAGAAACGAAAUAUGGACUUCGAAUUGAUAAUCUUUCAAGGACACUUAUUUUAAAAUGCAACAGCUAUAGACAUGCUCGGUGGUGGGGAGGAGCUAUAGAAGAAUUCAUCCAGAAACACGGCACCAACUUCCUUAAGGACCAUCGAUUUGGGUCCUAUGCUGCUAUCCAGGACAACACUUUAGCUAAAUGGUAUGUUAAUGCCAAAGGAUAUUUUGAAGAUGUGGCAAAUGCAAUGGAAGAAGCAAAAGAAGAGAUUUUUAUCACAGAUUGGUGGUUGAGUCCAGAAAUCUUCCUUAAACGCCCAGUAGUUGAAGGAAAUCGUUGGAGGUUGGACUGCAUUCUUAAACGAAAAGCACAACAAGGGGUGAAGAUCUUCAUAAUGCUUUACAAGGAGGUGGAGCUUGCUCUGGGAAUCAAUAGUGAAUACAGCAAGAGGACUUUAGUGAGGCUGCACCCCAACAUCAAGGUGAUGAGGCACCCAGAUCAUGUGUCAUCCAGCGUUUAUUUAUGGGCUCAUCAUGAGAAACUUGUCAUCAUCGAUCAAUCAGUGGCCUUUGUAGGUGGGAUUGACCUGGCCUAUGGACGGUGGGAUGACAACGAACACAGACUCACAGAUGUGGGAAGUGUGAAGCGGGUCGUUUCAGGACCGUCCCUGGGUUCUCUCACAGCUGCAAUCACAGAGUCUAUGGAAUCCUUAGGCCUCACAGAUAAAAAUGAAUCUAAUAAAAAUGUUCCCAGCUUGAAGAGUCCUGAUGAGACAGAUUCAAAACUGAAAGGUGUAGGAAAGCCACGAAAGUUGUCCAAACUUAACCUCUACCGGCAGCUCCACUGGCACCACCUGCACAACUCGGACAGCGUCAGCAGCCUGGACAGCGCCUCCAGUUAUGUUAAUCACUAUAGAAGUCACCAGAAUUUAAUCCAUGGUUUAAAACCCCACUUGAAACUCUUUCGCCCUUCCAGUGGGUCUGAACAGGGACUCACUAGACCCAGCGCCGAUACCGGCUCCAUCCGCAGCUUACAGACUGGCGUGGGAGAGCUACACGGGGAGACCAGAUUCUGGCAUGGGAAGGACUACUGCAACUUUGUGUUCAAAGACUGGGUUCAACUGGAUAAACCUUUUGCUGAUUUCAUCGACAGGUACUCUACUCCCCGGAUGCCCUGGCAUGACAUUGCGUCUGUGGUCCACGGGAAGGCAGCUCGUGAUGUGGCGCGCCACUUCAUCCAGCGAUGGAACUUCACGAAGAUUAUGAAACCAAAAUAUCGGUCCCUUUCUUAUCCUUUUCUGCUUCCAAAGUCUCAAACCACAGCCCAUGAGCUGAGACACCAAGUGCCUGGGGCUGUCCACGCCAGCAUACAGUUGCUCCGCUCUGCUGCUGAUUGGUCUGCUGGUAUAAAGUACCAUGAAGAGUCUAUCCACACCGCUUACAUCCAUGUGAUAGAGAACAGCAAGCACUAUAUCUAUAUUGAAAACCAAUUUUUUAUAAGCUGUGCUGAUGACAAAGUUGUGUUCAACAAGGUGGGUGAUGCCAUUGCUCAGAGGAUCCUGAAAGCUCACAGGGAAGGCCGGAGGUACCGGGUGUAUGUUGUGAUACCACUGCUCCCGGGAUUUGAAGGAGACAUUUCAACUGGAGGAGGAAACGCUCUACAGGCCAUAAUGCACUUCAACUACAGAACCAUGUGCAGAGGAGAAAAUUCCAUCCUUGGACAGUUAAAAACAGAGCUUGGUAAUCAGUGGAUAAAUUACAUUUCAUUCUGUGGUCUUAGGACACAUGCAGAGCUUGAAGGAAACCUAGUCACUGAGCUUAUCUAUGUCCACAGCAAGUUGUUAAUUGCUGAUGAUAACACUGUUAUUAUUGGCUCUGCCAACAUAAAUGACCGAAGUAUGCUGGGGAAGCGUGACAGUGAGAUGGCUGUCAUUGUGCAGGACACAGGGACGAUCCCAUCAUUAAUGGAUGGACAGGAGUACCAGGCCGGCCGAUUUGCCCAAGGACUGCGGCUACAGUGCUUCAGGGUUGUCCUUGGCUAUCUUUCUGACCCAAGUGAGGACAUUCAGGAUCCAGUGAGUGACAAAUUCUUCAAGGAGGUAUGGGUUUCCACAGCAGCUCGAAAUGCUACAAUUUAUGAUAAGGUGUUCCGGUGCCUUCCCAAUGAUGAAGUACACAAUUUAAUGCAACUGAGAGACUUUAUAAACAAGCCCAUAUUAGCAAAGGAAGAUCCCAUUAGAGCUGAGGAAGAACUAAAAAAGAUCCGUGGAUUCUUGGUGCAAUUCCCCUUGUACUUCUUGUCUGAAGAAUCCCUGCUGCCUUCUGUUGGAACCAAAGAAGCCAUAGUGCCCAUGGAGGUUUGGACUUAAAUGAUGUACUUGUCUGCAGCACCAAGAUUUCUCCCCUGAAGCCCACAGUGCACACACUGACUUCAUGGGGAUCGCCUAGCCACAUCCAGGCCGAUGCACUCUCAAGUCCAACACGUGGACCUUUUGGAAUGGUUGUGGUCAUACUGAUGUAAGGACACUGAGCAUCAGCAAGGUUUUGUAAUUCCUUCUGUCCAUCCUUGUAAAAGAGGAUGCAUUCUUGUUGGUACCAUUUACUCAACACUUUAGAACACAAGCAAAUUCCAUGGUGUAUACCAAAAUCCAUUUGCUAGUAAGAAUUUAUAUGUAACUGUAAUACAGAUUGCCAAAAGUUUCCUGGGAUUCCAUCCUCUUCUCUGACCUCCAGGUAGGCAGCCACUCUCUGCUGGACUUACCACAUCAUUUAGUCUACACAGCACUGCUUGAGAUACCCUUUCUUACUAGAAGACAUUGUAGAACUGCAUGAAGUUUCCUACAGGUUACAGGGAUGCUCCUGCCCAUCCAGUCCUGUAGUCAUAGUGUUCACCCAACCAAGGAUGUGGUUAUUGUUUCUUUUCAGUCACUAUAGGGACAGAAAGACUAGUCUACACAGCAGUCCAUACCUUUGAUAACAUUAGUGCUAUAUCUUGACUCCAUAGAGUAACAGGAAGGAAUUAAAUUGCAGUACUGAAGCAGAGAUUUCAGUUUGUUCCCCAAAACACUGCCAAGAUGUGUUCUUGUGAUAGAGCCCAACUGAUCAAAUUUGAAAACAUGUUUAGGAUAUUUGAUUAUUUGAUUACAUAUCACACAGAUAAAACAUAGAUGGGCACACAUUCUUGAGAAACUUUCAGUGUCAGUAGAAAUCUAAUCUUGAUAAGAUUCUGUAUAGUCUUGUAAAAUUUUCAUCAUCCGUGAUUGAUUGGAAUUGGAAUUUCUUCAUUUCAUAAUCAAAUGAGUGAAUGCAAUUUGCCUUGCAAGAGAAUCAAAAGUUUCAUAAUUCCUACCAAGUUAAUGAAUCUAACUUUAUUUGACAUUCACUAUGUUAUCAUGUUUAAGGAAAAAAAUGAUUAUAAAAUAUAUGCUAUUUCACUUGCAUGGUUAAAUAUACUGUAAUAUUUCAGCAGGGCUUUCAAAGGAGUUAGGAUAUUCUUACAGCCUGAAGAGCUAAAGUGGGUUUCCAAGAGGCCUGUGAGCAAUAAAAAGGGUACAGGUGCAGGGGUUACACACAUGGAUGGAUCCCUGGGACAGAAUCUCCUUGGGGUUCUUCAAAGCAAGCGCUCAGUCUCUAUCUUCAUGAACUAAUACUCAGGUCAGAAAGAUGUAAGAGGACUACAGUGUCAAUGAUACAUAAUAGCAGAAUAGAUAGUGUCAUACCCGAGAGGCUUUCACAGCUAGAGAAAUGAGGUGGAAUUUUAUAAGCCGUUCUGGAAAUGAGUAUUUAUGAAUAAAUAACUUAUUUUUAUAUGGCUGGAGAUGGUAAAAUGACUUAACUUCUUAGCUUUUAUAAAUGAGACAUUUUACGAAAGUUUGAUGAAAAGUUUAGAGUAGCCUUUGAUGUGCUGAGUGUAUUCAGAAAUACUUACGGGCUCUUGUAUUUUAUUUUAAAAUAUUUUGUAUGGCUUAUGAACAAACUGGCCUUGGUUUUGUGAAAACUGUUCUUAUUAAAACAUGAAAAGUAAAGGGUCUAAAAGGAACCCCGCUAUGUAGCUCAGGCUGACCUCAAACUCACAGUGGUCCUCCUGCCUCAGCCUUCAGAGUGCUGAGAUUAUAGGUGCAUGUGCUGCCAUGGCCAGCAGCUCUUCACCUUAAAAAAUCAUUCAGUUCAAUCCCUCUGCAUAUUAUAGAUGAGGUAACUGAGGCUCAGAUUGGAUGAAGGACUGAUUUAAACCCAUAAGAUAUAGAUGGCAGAACUGGGACUAGCAAAAUUGCUGCAGUCUAUAGUUGUCCUCUCCACCUCAACACUGCCCCAAAAUGAGGACAUGCAGGGAAUUUUAGAAGGCUAUCUUUAAGCUGUUUUGAACCCUGCCUAUAUCUAACUACUAGGGUAGAAGAGCCAUAAGGCAGAGAUUUCACCACUGUUGUUCAUAGUGAGUCCCCACAGCCUGGAACAGUGCCUGGUUCAUAGAAGAGGUCAGUAAAUGUCUGUGGAAUGAAUAUAAAAGGAGGAGAGAGCUAAUGAAAAGAAAACCUUUCUAUGCCUCAGGCCAGAAAUCUUACUGUUGGUUUCCCUUGCAAGUUUUUCUACUUCUCAGAGCCAAGAUUUUUAUCCACAAAAAAAAGCGACAAAGUGUAUUUGGAGGAAUCUUAUGGAAAAUUCAGUGCAAUAAUUGUGUUUUAUGCAGUAGCAGUUUACAGAGUGCAACAUUCUGUAAGAACUGCAUGGAAUGUGGCAUGGAUGUACUGUAUAACCUAAUUACCUAUCGUUUUUGGACACCGUCAAUACCUACUGGAAGUUGAAAUGAUGUAUCUUAACAUCGAAAUGUCUGAUAACUUUAAAAUGUAAGUCAUGUAAAACCUUGAAAAGCUAUUAUGAAUUGUUCACUUCAAACUGACUGUAAUCUUUUGAAAUGCCUAUAAAUACUACUCCUGACAUCCUGCAAAUAUCUGUGAUAAUUUUUGUUUCUCCAAAGGAAAAAUUCUAUUAUUACAAUAAAUGAAGAGUAGAAAGUGGUCAUGGCCUGUUGAGUUAUUCCUUGGAGGAGAUAGCAAUUCUAAGGAAUAGCAAUUCUAGCAUAAUUAUGCAUUCAGAUCACGGGUCAGGCCAUGACUCACCCUUUUGUAGGAAGAUCUGAACUCUCCACAUCACAGAGGAAUGUGGGGGCUGGCCGUUAGAUAAUCUUGUGGCACACUGUGAAACAAAGUACUUUUUCAAAGUAUCUUGGGAAGAAAAUUUAGUCUAUAGGUACUCAAUAUGGAGAGGUAAUUUCUUAUGUAAGAACUUGGGAAAUUGUGUCAUGACUGAACAGUCUUUUAGAUGGCAGCAGUAAGCUGAGAAAUGAUUUUUCAGAUGUGAGACUAGGGAGAAUACAUUUUUAUGUAUAUAUAAUAAAGAACCUGUACUUCUUUCUGCACCCACUCACCUUGUAUUCUUUCCAUUUCUGCUUCCAAUCAGAGCCACUCCUUAUGUUGUAAAAGCCAUUUUAGAGAACAAGAAAAUAUUUUCCUGAAAAAAAAUUAAGCCUCACAUUAGCCUGCUCAUCUGCCAUUCAAGGCUUAAAAGGCAACAUUUAUUUUCCUAAUUGUGGAGGUAGGAAGUCUGAGAGCCGGAUACCCACUUGAUCCAUUUCUACCAAACUCUUUGGUAUUUCUUCAUGUAAAGCUACUAAUCCUUUAUGAGGAGCCCAUCCUCAUGAUGUAGAACUAGUCGUAGCUUCCUCUCUGUGGUAUUGUUUUUGCAAAUUAAAAUUGGCCUCCACUCUUUUGAGAAUAAAGUUUCAUUACAAUGCAACCUUACCCACUCACAACCAUAUGCCUCACAUAUCUUAAAAUACUUGCUAUCAGUAAGAGAAAACUUGCUGAUCCUUCUAGAGAAUUCAAACAGAGUACCGUGAACAAACAGAUUUGGGGAAGUUUUAAUUUCCUCUAUCAGUAGGGCUGUCAAACCUCUGUAUCCCAUGGCCUAAGAUUCUACAAUCU
ensembl:lincRNA